rnacentral:rRNA from 1 species
AACGAACGCUGGCGGCAUGCCUAACACAUGCAAGUCGAACGAGACCUUCGGGUCUAGUGGCGCACGGGUGCGUAACGCGUGGGAAUCUGCCCUUGGGUUCGGAAUAACUCGCCGAAAGGCGUGCUAAUACCGGAUGAUGUCGUAAGACCAAAGAUUUAUCGCCCAGGGAUGAGCCCGCGUAAGAUUAGGUAGUUGGUGAGGUAAAGGCUCACCAAGCCGACGAUCUUUAGCCGGCCUGAGAGGGUGAACGGCCACAAGGGGACUGAGACACGGCCCUU